rnacentral:rRNA from 1 species
CGCUGAAGGAGGAGCUUGCUUCGCUGGAUGAGUUGCGAACGGGUGAGUAACGCGUAGGUAACCUGCCUGGUAGCGGGGGAUAACUAUUGGAAACGAUAGCUAAUACCGCAUAAGAGUAGAUGUUGCAUGACAUUUGCUUAAAAGGUGCAAUUGCAUCACUACCAGAUGGACCUGCGUUGUAUUAGCUAGUUGGUGAGGUAACGGCUCACCAAGGCAACGAUACAUAGCCGACCUGAGAGGGUGAUCGGCCACACUGGGACUGAGACACGGCCCAGAUUCCUACGGGAGGCAGCAGUAGGGAAUCUUCGGCAAUGGACGGAAGUCUGACCGAGCAACGCCGCGUGAGUGAAGAAGGUUUUCGGAUCGUAAAGCUCUGUUGUAAGAGAAGAACGAGUGUGAGAGUGGAAAGUUCACACUGUGACGGUAUCUUACCAGAAAGGGACGGCUAACUACGUGCCAGCAGCCGCGGUAAUACGUAGGUCCCGAGCGUUGUCCGGAUUUAUUGGGCGUAAAGCGAGCGCAGGCGGUUAGAUAAGUCCGAAGUUAAAGGCUGUGGCUUAACCAUAGUACGCUUUGGAAACUGUUUAACUUGAGUGCAAGAGGGGAGAGUGGAAUUCCAUGUGUAGCGGUGAAAUGCGUAGAUAUAUGGAGGAACACCGGUGGCGAAAGCGGCUCU